rnacentral:rRNA from 1 species
UGGGGAAUAUUGGACAAUGGGCGCAAGCCUGAUCCAGCCAUGCCGCGUGUGUGAAGAAGGCCUUAGGGUUGUAAAGCACUUUCAGUGGGGAGGAAGGGUGUUGUGUUAAUAGCACAGCAUUUUGACGUUACCCACAGAAGAAGCACCGGCUAACUCCGUGCCAGCAGCCGCGGUAAUACGGAGGGUGCAAGCGUUAAUCGGAAUUACUGGGCGUAAAGCGCACGCAGGCGGCUUUUUAAGUCGGAUGUGAAAGCCCCGGGCUCAACCUGGGAAUUGCAUCUGAUACUGGGAAGCUAGAGUAUGUGAGAGGGGGGUAGAAUUCCAAGUGUAGCGGUGAAAUGCGUAGAGAUUUGGAGGAACACCAGUGGCGAAGGCGGCCCCCUGGCACAAUACUGACGCUCAGGUGCGAAAGCGUGGGGAGCAAAACAGGAUUAGAUACCCUGGUAGUCCACGCCGUAAACGAUGUCUACUAGAUGUUCGUGGUCUUGUACCGUGAGUAUCGCAGCUAACGCAUUAAGUAGACCGCCUGGGGAGUACGGUCGCAAGAUUAAAAACUCAAAGGAAUUGACGGGGUCAUAGCUGUUUCCU